GACGAACGCUGGCGGCGUGCUUAACACAUGCAAGUCGAACGGAAAGGCCCUGCUUUUGUGGGGUGCUCGAGUGGCGAACGGGUGAGUAACACGUGAGUAACCUACCCUUGACUUUGGGAUAACUUCAGGAAACUGGGGCUAAUACCGGAUAGGAGCUCCUGCUGCAUGGUGGGGGUUGGAAAGUUUCGGCGGUUGGGGAUGGACUCGCGGCUUAUCAGCUUGUUGGUGGGGUAGUGGCUUACCAAGGCUUUGACGGGUAGCCGGCCUGAGAGGGUGACCGGCAACAUUGGGACUGAGAUACGGCCCAGACUCCUACGGGAGGCAGCAGUGGGGAAUAUUGCACAAUGGGCGGAAGCCUGAUGCAGCAACGCCGCGUGCGGGAUGACGGCCUUCGGGUUGUAAACCGCUUUCGCCUGUGACGAAGCGUGAGUGACGGUAAUGGGUAAAGAAGCACCGGCUGACUACGUG
rnacentral:rRNA from 1 species